rnacentral:rRNA from 1 species
UACGAAGGGGGCUAGCGUUGUUCGGAAUUACUGGGCGUAAAGGGCGCGUAGGCGGCGUGUCAAGUCAGGCGUGAAAGCCCCGGGCUCAACCUGGGAACCGCGCUUGAGACUGGCAUGCUCGAGUUCGGGAGAGGAUGGUGGAAUUCCCAGUGUAGAGGUGAAAUUCGUAGAUAUUCGGAAGAACACCAGUGGCGAAGGCGACUCACUGGACACAUAUUGACGCUGAGGUGCGAAAGCGUGGGGAGCAAACAGG